GCACAAGCGGUGGAGCAUGUGGUUAAUUCGAAGCAACGCGAAGAACCUUACCAGGUCUUGACAUCCCGAUGCUAUUCUAGAGAUAGAAAGUUACUUCGGUACAUCGGUGACAGGUGGUGCAUGGUUGUCGUCAGCUCGUGUCGUGAGAUGUUGGGUUAAGUCCCGCAACGAGCGCAACCCCUAUUGUUAGUUGCCAUCAUUCAGUUGGGCACUCUAGCGAGACUGCCGGUAAUAACCGGAGGAAGGUGGGGAUGACGUCAAAUCAUCAUGCCCCUUAUGACCUGGGCUACACACGUGCUACAAUGGUUGGUACAACGAGUUGCGAGUCGGUGACGGCGAGCUAAUCUCUUAAAGCCAAUCUCAGUUCGGAUUGUAGGCUGCAACUCGCCUACAUGAAGUCGGAAUCGCUAGUAAUCGCGGAUCAGCACGCCGCGGUGAAUACGUUCCCGGGCCUU
rnacentral:rRNA from 1 species